AGGACCUGAAAGAUUGUAGCAUUU
rnacentral:piRNA from 1 species